UGCCGCUGUCAUGGAAACAGCCUCCGACUGCUGGACACGUGGAGGAGGUCCUGGAAAAUUCCGGCUUUGAACCGAACCGCCUCGCUGACGUCACGCCCCGCGGAGGACGCGUGACCGCUCCAGUCCUUCGCUCCGCACCGCGCCGCGUGCGCCACAUCGAGCGGAGUCUGCAGGACGAAGAGCCCCGUGAACGCGCUGCCUCCGAGUCGUGCGCACGCCGCGGGAGCGCGCCCGCAAAUUGACAGCCGAGCCGGUUUUUACCGACCCCCCCCGCGGGACCCGGUCUGUCCCGAGCGGCGAUCUGCACAAUGACCGUGUCAGCUUUUACCAUGAUCGUACUGUUUGUCCUCGGUGCAGUGGGGUCUGUGCCAGUGAAGGAUGCAAAGGAGACCGAUUGUGCCUCGGACGUGCGCAAUGAGCUGUCCAGCACCUGUAAACUGCAGCCAGGUGACGCACUGGGAGCUGCAGAGAUACACCAGGGGCUGCUGAGAGAGCUGCAGGAGCUUGCAGACAAAGAAAAGGAAAAGCAGAAGCAAUAUGAGAAGGAGAAGCAGGAGUAUGAGAAACACAUGAUGGAUGAAGAGAGCAAAGGGGCAGAGGAAGAUAGGGAGCAUGAUCAGACUUUGUAUAUCAAGGCUGAGGUGACAGAUGAGGAAAAGGAAAAGGAGGGCAAGGACGAGAAGAUGAAGGAGAAGGAGAAGGAGGUGGAAGUGAAGGACGGGUCAGGCGUAGAGGUGAGGAAGAGGGGGGAUGAGGAAGAGAGGGAACGGGAGCUAAAAGAGCUUCUCAAGGAGGAAGAGGAGAAAAAGAGAGAAGAUGAGAAGCGAAGUGAAGAGUGGGAAGAGUCAGAGGAAGACAGGAAAAGGAAAAGACAUGAGCCUGAAAAGGAGAGCGAGAUGGAGGAGAUCCUGAGGGAGGAAGAGAAGAGAGGGAAUAAGAAAAAGAGUGUCAGAGAGCGAGAGAAGCUGCUGGAUGAGUUAGAGAAGAUGAGGAGUGAGGAGGAAAAAAAGAGGACGAAGGAGAAAGGAAAGGAAGAGGAGCUUGAGGAGUUGCUGAGGAAAGUGAAGCACAUUAAAGAGGAAGAGGAGAGAGAGCUGGAGGAGAGGGAGAAAGAACACAUCAAGGAGAAGGAGAGGGAAAUUGAGGAGCUGGAAAAGAAGCGUGAACGGGAAAGGGAACGGGAAAGGGAAAGAGAAAGGGAACGGGAAGGGGAAAGGAUGAAAGAGCUUGAGCGAGAAAGGGACAGAGAGAGAGAGAUGGAGGAGAGAGACCCGCAGCAGAAGAGAGUGAUGGAGAAAGCAAGUGAUGAAGCAACAUGGCAGUUUGGGAGGGAGAGGUACAUGAGUCACAGAGCAGAGGAAGAUAAGAAAAGACAACAUGAGGAGGAAGAAGAGGAAGAACAUGAGAAAGACCACGGGGAGGAUCUUUUGGAGAUCGAGGCGGAGCUGCGCAGAGUAGCCGCGGAGCUGCGGGAGUUACGCAGGGGCUGAGCCUCCUCGGCUCGACUCCAGCUGCUGCGCACGGGGAUGUAAGACGAUGGAAGGUGGAGCCUCCGCCGCUAUAUAGUUCAACUGCCUACACGAAUGAACACACACGCACACACAUAUUCUUUCCGUCAGAAACAGAUAUACUAAUGAGGCCACGUAUUUAAUGCAUGCUGUUGAUAAGUUGUUUCUCUUUGGUAUCAACAAAGAUUAUAUAGUAAUCAAGAUGUUUCUCUUCCAUUCUGUCCCAUCCUAGGAGUUGGGUUAAAGUAAUAACAGCAAAACGUGAUUAUUUUGCAUAUAUCCUGAUUUCUUAGUCCUUUUAACAUGAAAUUACACACAUAGUCUAUUCCGCAUACUGUCUGAAAAAAUGGUGACUGCGACAUGAAUCAUCACUUCACUCAUUUUGGUCAGCAAUUUGAGAAGCACAGCUUCCGAUGCAGGUCUUUAGGCAGAGAAAGGGAAUAAUCGAAAUCAAAACGCCUGUUACUUUUUCCUCUGUGAUUGUAAAUGCAUAUCUAUAUAUCUUUUUAAACUAUGUGUAACGAAGGUUCACAGAAAAAAAAAAAUCGUUCUCCUUGCAAUAUACUUGUGACUCAAUAUAAUUGUGACUGUUAUUAUAAUGACUGUUAUUGUAUUGUGUGCAGAAACAGAAUAGAAUAGCAUGUGGAUUGUCUUUGGCUCAAGCACUGUUACUGAGACUGUUACUAAGAACAGGGAAUGUACCUGGGAACAGGUGAGCAGGGGAAUACGUUGCCAGAACGGCCUCACCGAGCGCGGCGUUUACACUACGGUCGCUGGCAUUUGAAUCAAAUGUACUGUCAAAGAGUUACGCUGAGAUUGCUGUUAAAUUCCCUGGGAAGUCGUCAUUUAUUUCUCAGCUUUGCACUGUUUGAUUUCUACUACCAGCAACACAUGCCAAGGCCCAAGGGCGCAACAGGAAAAAACACAGCCAUUGGUUUCUAUUUUCUCUCUAGAAUUGACAUUUUCGCAUCGUCGUGAGAAGGGAGGACGUGUUUUCUAAUAAUUAUUCAGCUUCGGUGAAUUUGAUUUCUGUUUACGACAGUGCUUUAGUGAAGGGAUGCAAUAGGAUACUGAACGCGCGUGCGGUACGACUUGUAAAUUGGGCGACCAUUUUGGAGCGAGAAAUAGCGACGCUGCGAAACAGCGCCCCCUGUGGACAGUUUGGAUACGGCCACAUCUUGCCAUUCCCCGUGUUCAAAUAUACACGGUCCAUUAUAAAUAUAUUUUACUAUAUUUCUGUUUUGGUUAAAUCACUAAAAUACAAUGCCUAGAGUAUAAUAUGUAAUAAUGCUAUAUUUAGACAAGAAAAUAAAAAAACGCGGUAUGUUUAUACGUUAUAUAUA
ensembl:lncRNA